rnacentral:siRNA from 1 species
CCACUUUCAAGUGUUAGUCCUCCA